rnacentral:rRNA from 1 species
AACGAACGCUGGCGGCAUGCCUAGCACAUGCAAGUCGAACGAGAUCUUCGGGUCUAGUGGCGCACGGGUGCGUAACGCGUGGGAAUCUGCCCUUUGGUUCGGAAUAACAGUUGGAAACGACUGCUAAUACCGGAUGAUGACGAAAGUCCAAAGAUUUAUCGCCAGAGGAUGAGCCCGCGUAGGAUUAGCUAGUUGGUGUGGUAAAGGCGCACCAAGGCGACGAUCCUUAGCUGGUCUGAGAGGAUGAUCAGCCACACUGGGACUGAGACACGGCCCAGACUCCUACGGGAGGCAGCAGUGGGGAAUAUUGGACAAUGGGUGAAAGCCUGAUCCAGCAAUGCCGCGUGAGUGAUGAAGGCCUUAGGGUUGUAAAGCUCUUUUACCCGGGAUGAUAAUGACAGUACCGGGAGAAUAAGCUCCGGCUAACUCCGUGCCAGCAGCCGCCGUAA